GUGGGGAAUAUUGCACAAUGGGCGAAAGCCUGAUGCAGCAACGCCGCGUGAAGGAAGAAGGUUUUCGGAUCGUAAACUUCUAUCCUUGGUGAAGAUAAUGACGGUAGCCAAGAAGGAAGCCCCGGCUAACUACGUGCCAGCAGCCGCGGUAAUACGUAGGGGGCAAGCGUUGUCCGGAAUGAUUGGGCGUAAAGGGCGCGUAGGCGGCCCGGUAAGUCGGAAGUGAAAGUCCUGCUUUUAAGGUGGGAAUUGCUUUGGAUACUGUCGGGCUUGAGUGCAGGAGAGGUAAGCGGAAUUCCCGGUGUAGCGGUGAAAUGCGUAGAGAUCGGGAGGAACACCAGUGGCGAAGGCGGCUUACUGGACUGUAACUGACGCUGAGGCGCGAAAGUGUGGGGAGCAAACAGGAUUAGAUACCCCUGUAGUCC
rnacentral:rRNA from 1 species